rnacentral:misc_RNA from 1 species
CCAGAAUCUGUUGCAAUAGAGGCCCCUCUACUAAUUUGUUCCAUUUGACACUGGUCAUAACAGCAGCAGUCUGCUGUUGGAUGAUGUGGGCCAUUGUAUAUCUUGCACAGAUGAAACCACUCAUUGUUCCAAUUCUAAGUGAAGGAGAGUGAAGAUGUUCCUGGAAAAGCAUAACAGGACCUUGUUGGUAAACCAACAAUAUGUCUAGUGCAUUGUUCGCCAGGGAAAUAUCUUAUUAAAGACUAAUGGAUCAUUCAAUAUCUUCUCAUUUUGGGUCUCUCUGUAAUAUUUAUCAGCGUGAACUUUGAAUUGAUUUUGCUUUGGUGGUUCACUUUCCUGCUUGUGAUGGCCUCGCAUUCAAAUUUUAAUUCAUUGAGCGGUGAUUCUAUCUGCCAUUGAGUGUACAAAUAUGUAAUUCGGAUGAAAUAAUUGUUGCAGAAGAGUGUAUUUGAUUUUAUAUUCAGGUCAU